rnacentral:rRNA from 1 species
ACUCCUACGGGAGGCAGCAGUGGGGAAUAUUGCACAAUGGGCGCAAGCCUGAUGCAGCCAUGCCGCUGUAUGAAGAAGGCCUUCGGGUUGUAAAGUACUUUCAGCAGUGAGGAAGGUGGAUAUGUUAAUAGCAUAUUAUUGACGUUUAGCUGCAGAAGAAGCACCGGCUAACUCCGUGCCAGCAGCCGCGGUAAUACGGAGGGUGCGAGCGUUAAU